CCUGGCUAGGAAACUGUCAAUAGUGUUUCCAUCCAAAGAUCCUUAGUCACUUGUGCAAGGCCUUUGCCAUCUAAGUAACAGACAGAACCUUUGAGAGCACUGCCAAGAAGGUUACAGUCUGAGACACAGAAACAUGGAAGUCAAACAAAGAAGUGCAACCAAGGAGAGACUUAACAGCUGAGAGCUUGGAAAGAUGUUUAAAGGGCAGGUACUGGAUUCUGGGCAGACUGCUGAGAAAACAAGUGAGCCAAGGGUGCGUGUGUUGGAGGAGGAGUGCCAGUUAAGAGGUGAUUACAAGAAGUCUCAAGAACCUGUGCUGAUGAAUUUGGGAACAAAGCAGGGUACUCAGGUGAUGCUGUAAUCAGUUGACCCAAGUUAAAGAUCAUAGC
rnacentral:lncRNA from 1 species